UUUAAACAUUCCUUUAAACCUUUCUGUUUGUGCCGUUACUCAUCUCUUUGGCACUCUUCACAGUUCAGAUUUAAACAGCCUUUCAUCAUUUCCCAUUUCUGUUCUGUAUGUGUAAUAAAAACAAAACAAAAGAAAAACUAAUCAGUUACAACUGUCCCUAUUCCCCUCUCAGACUUCCUUGUGAAAGAGCACUCUUCUUUAGUGCAAACCGUCAUCAGCUUCUUAUCUCUCAAACAUUUAGCAAAAAUGAAAGUGCUCCUUCACUUCUAUGGCAGGUUUUAAUAUAUAUAUAUAUAUAUAUAUACACAGAUGACCAGUCUCUUAGCAGAUGUACCAUACGCAGUCCAUGUGCUUGUCAAUCACAAUUCAGAUUUUUAAAAUAUCUUGUAUAUUCAUUCACUGUUAAACUAAUUGCUUUGGAUCAAACUGCCCUCACACAGACACAAAUUUCUUUACCUAAAUGUGUUUAAGUGAUUACAUUGUAGAUGAUUUGCUUUUUUCUUUUUAAUGAUUCUUUGUUAAUCUAAUUGUAGUGAAAGUACAGUGUUUUGCACAAAAUACACUUAACAAGCAAGCUCUUUGUCUCCUGAUACCCUACAUCUUUAAGAGGCGCACCAUGCUGUCGGAGAUGGGGGCGGCCAUUUUGUGCCGUUCUGAUGCAGGAUGAUUCAGUGUCUAAAUCACAGACAUGCUGCAUUGAGUCUGUUGACUUUGCCAGUGUACAGAUUAACACAUUGUCCAUCUAUUAAUAUCAACCCGCUGUGUAAGUGAUGUGAACUGUGAACAAACCAAAAAAGUUGGGAAACUAUUUAUUAAAAUUGUUACAACAUGAGAGACUGGGUGUAUAUUGCUGCAACAAUGUAUAUACAACGUAUAUUAAUAAAGAAUAAAAAAAAGUAACGCUAGAAGGAAUAUGGCUAGAGCUACACAUGUACAUCUUAGCUGCAUUACUCAUCUUCUGGUGUAUUAAGAAUUUAAUGUAAAACAUUAAACACUAACAACAAUGCCACUGUACACCGAUCAGGCAUAACAUUAUGAACAGUGACAGGUGAAGUGUAUAACACUGAUUAUCUCCUCAUCAUGGCACCUGUUAGUGGGUGGGAUAUAUUAGGCAGCAAGUGAACAUUUUGUCCUCAAAGUUGAUGUGUUAGAAGCAGGAAAAAUGGACAAGCGUAAGGAUUUGAGCGAGUUUGACAAGGACCACAUUGUAAUGGCUAGACAGCUGGAUCAGAGCAUCUCCAAAACUGUAGCUCUUGUGGGGUGUUCCCGGUCUUCAGUGGUCAGUAUCUAUUAAAAGUGGUCCAAGGAAGGAACAGUGGUGAACUGGAGACAGGGUCAUGGGCGUCCAAGGCUCAUUGAUGCACGUGGGGAGCAAAGGCUGGCCCGUGUGAUCCGAUCCACUGUUGUUCAAAUUCCUGAAUAAGUUAAUGCUGGUUCUGAUAGAAAGGUGUCAGAAUACACAGUGCGGGGUCAGGGCUGUUUUGGCAGCAAAAGGAGGACCAACACAAUAUCAGGCAGAUGGUCAUAAUGUUGUGCCUGAUCGGUGUAUGGUUGUGGCUCAGCUUGGCAAAUUACCCAGGAGACUUUGUGAGUUUUUGUGAGUGUUUACAAGCAGGAUACCUACACUGAAUAGUUAGCCUUCCUGUCCAAGUAUCGUUAAAGCUGACUUCUUAAUAUGUGAUCCAACUAAAAAUGGCCACUUCCAGUGCCAUCCAUAUUUUAAACAUCAAGUGAGAUACCUUACAUUUCAAUCAUUUCGCCUUAAAAUAAAUUCAAGUAGCUACAUAUGUAAUCUCAGUUGAAACCACAAAGUGCUUGAAAACUCAUGCAAGACCUUUAAUUACUGUGUAAUAAACCACACUCUGUUCAUCUGUUUUGUAGCAAAUGUACAGUGGAGUCAAGUAGUCUGCGACUUUGUUUUGUUAUCGUUAUUUAAAAUAAUAAAUUUUGGCUCUGCAACGUAGUAUUAUUUAAAACAAAGAAAGUAAAUGAAAAUAAAUAUUUAAUACUCCUAAUUCUGCAAUAUUUCCAGGUCCUUAUUUAAAUGUAAGCAAAUGUGUGAUAUUGACCAUGUUAACAGCUUUGUACAAAAGAUACUGUUAUACAUGCUGUUAUUACACCUAAAAGGAGAUGAACCAAUUAUAAUGGAAGUUGUUGUAUAAAAUAGAAAAUGAUGCAAAACGGAAGCAUUUUUCACUAGUGCUCUCAGAUUACUGGGCUCCACUGUAUCUGUUGUGCAAUCAGAAUGUACUUUUUUUUUAUUAAAUGCUGACAAAUAACUAAUAGUAACUAAACAGAUUUAUUUUGACAAUGGACUAAAUACAAUAUAGUCUACAAUGUGUCUGACACCCCUGCCCUAAAUGCUUGAGAUAUAUCAUUAAAAACACACCACAUCACCCUAAACGGUGUUUACCAAAGUGUAUUAGUGUUGUUUGCUCCAAUAUAUGUGAAUGUGUCAGAAUGGUUGGUGAUUCAUAUUUUCUGUUCGAACAGCUUGAAAGGGUGAUAAAUGGGUAAAGGAGUGGGCAAGAAAAAGUGCCUCACAAUCAGAAUCAGAUUGCUGCUAUGUUUAAUGCUGCUCUGCCACACCAGGUAAACAAACUACUGCAUUAGUAACUGGGAAAUAAAAGGAAAUAUGGGCUGUGCUGUGAUAAAGGUCCACUAAGUUGGCAAAAAAAAAAAAAAAAUCAGUAUUUCUAAGCAUUGUAAAUAAAACAUGAGAGGCAUAGGGAACUUGGGAAAAUGAAAAUACAAUUAUAAAAUAAAAAUAAAAAUAAAAAAACCCAUUACUGAUAUGUUAAGAGAUGGAAACAAUAAAUCUAAUCAUUUCAGCUGGAGAGCUUUAAUGUACUAUUUCUAAAAUUAUUUUAUAUGAAAAAAUUUUCUUGUUUUUAUGUUUCUGAUUAUCACCACAUGCCUCAUCACUGUUUCACUCAGUACUUUGAACUAGACCACUAGAAACUGACCAUUUCAGGGGAUUACACAUGGCAAUAACAGAGCAAUUGUACUGAACUUCUCAUACUGGGAUUGAGUGUUAAUAUGUCCAGGAAGGGUUUGGGCUCUGUGUUUUGAAUCAUAAGAAUUCUAUAUAUACUAUACAGAUGUUACUACAUGCUUAGAAAAGUAAUAAGGUCAUAUGAUAUUGGAUCAAAUGAAGUGGCUUGUGAACUCAACAGUGCAGGCAGAAAAUCAAGGAUCAUGGAGUCAAGUAACAGAUCAACCAUUAAGCACAUUUGUGCUCCUAGGAAAUUAAAUAAAGUGGUUGGUUUUGCACAGACUGUGAAUGUGGCGCAUAUGCAGUGAAUAUAGAUUAAGUUCAACUGCCAGUAUUUACACAGGGAGACAUCCAUUCAGAUAUUGUAAUUUCCGCCAUGCACUGUUCAGGUGUCUGAGCACUUGUCUUAAAAUCCCAAAUAUCAGGGGCUUAAAAUACAGUUUAGACUAAUUAGACCAUUUCUUUCUUAAUUUAUUAAGUAUUUAUUAUUUAUUCAGUCAUCUUCAGCAACUGCAUCACAAGGUGCAUUAGCCAAAUGUAAUGUAAGCAAGGAUGAUGAAUAUUCCUCUGCGGAGAUUUCACCAAAAAUGUGUCUUAAUUUAACAAUAUAAAUUUUACCCCCAUUAAUUACUUCUAAGGCCAUGUUUUGGGGUGGGGGUGGGGGGGUCAGUCCACCAGAUUUUAAAAUCUGCCCAAAAUAAGGCAUAUCCUUCAACGUCCUGUAUGAGCAAGAAACAAAAUAAUAGAUUUAAUUUUGCCCUUAAUUAUUUGUUUUAGGGUGAAAUGCCGUGGUUAUAAUAAAUUGUCACCCAGAAGUGGCGGACUUAAUGCUGGUCAAUAUGCAAAAAUUUAAAGAAAAGCAAAACACAGUCACAGGGUUUGGGGUAAAAUUGUUUAGAACUGAGAUAUGCCUCUGUUCUUGUCCCUGUGAACAAAUAGCAAUUAUCUGUCAGAGUAGAUUAAUAAAGCUGUGGGGUAGUUUUUUGUUGGUGAGGCAAAAAAACAGUGGUCUCUUCAUUGUGAGAAUGUAUUACUUAGUGGACCUUUAACUAAUUAUUGCCUUCUACUCCAAUUCAUAUCUGAAUGAUCUCCAUCUUUCCCACGUGAAAUAUUUGUCUAACUAGUAGAUGUCACUUCCAGUCUUUGUUUGAGUCUUGCUUCACAUUCCCAGACAUCUUCAUUCUGCAUGAUCACAUUAUCUUUUUCUCUUUAUUCAUUCUCUCUGUCACGCUCCCCCUAGCUCUCUCAACAUAACAUAAUGCCGGGAUGCUAUAUGAAAUGCACUUGCUCUGAAUGAAAGCAAACUCUUUAAGGCUUUCUAGAGUAUAACACUCUACUCCUCUAUAUCUGAGCUUGGCGAAGCUCACUGAUGCGCUGUCAGUAUGUGUGCAGCUUGAUGAAUGAGAUUAUAAUAUUGCGCUCAUUCACCUUCCCCUCCUUACUGCAAUAGCUUCUAAACAUCGGAAACCCAAAAGAGAGCAUGCCUACUACUUUAGCCCCUUGUAUCUGAUGAAAAUAAUGUGUCAGUGUGCUAGUAGUGUUAAUGUUGUCUGCCGCAAGCCAUUUUUCAGUGAACAUUUGGCAGUUGCUUUUCUUUUCUUUGCUUUUUUUUUUUUUUUUUUGGAAUGAUAACCCUUUUUGUUUAUUCUUAGCUUUACAGAAUGACAUUUUCAGUUCCCUAGGUUUAUUUUAUUACUUUGAUCUCAUUAAAAACAAAAAGAAAAGUCUAGUAUCCCAAAAGGAUAAAUUGAACAUUUGCCAAAAUACCUUGAGAUGAAACCAAAGGUUUUUGUCUUAUUCUGUUAAAAAAAGAAAUCUGGAACAUAAGAAAAAUGAUCUUUUACUGUUUUUUUGUGCUUUACAUGAUGCCUACAGCCUAUUGGUUGGUAAGAAGCUUACGAUUUAAGAUACUACAGUCCUGCUUUACCUUGAAUGCCCUGUGACCAUUGACCUUUUGCUCCUGAAACAUGCUGAAAGUGCUCUUUGCUCUAUUGACCCCACAUUUGAUUCCAGCAGGUUGACUCAGGAAUGGGUAGGAAAAGCAGGAGAAUGGAUAGAGAAAGAGAGAGUGCACGUCACACUAAAGGGCGUGUGCUGUCCUCUCUGUGCGAUCAUACACACUCAAGCCAAGUGUGUGCAUUCUCUCUCGUGCACUCCUUCAUGAGGCCUGGUCCAUGUCUAAGUUCAAAAACAGACUGACUCAAGUGUCAGGGACAAAACAAGUUGGCCAUCCUCACAUACUAAGAGAGGGAGAGAGCGAAAUUAAUGAAUGAGAUAAAAUAGCGAGCGGUUGGUCCUCAGCCUCCUGCUCUCGUUCUCUCUCCCUCCGUCUUGGUUUGUUGUUCGUCACAAAAGAGGGAUGGAUAUAGUGUGGAAGCUCUUCGCAUGGAGCAGCUCCUUCGUAAAAUUGUGCCAAAGCUUGUGUUUUUGCUGGAAAAUGAAAUGACCUGUUUAUAUUUAUACUGUAAAUAACAAAAACCUGGAAAUUAGACACCUAACUUUACCUUCAUGGAUUCAUGUAAUUUUGCUCCUAUGACCUCCUGUCUGAUUCUCUGUAAAUACACACAUAAAUUUCAUCACUAGAGGAAAAACUGUUGGUUCAUGUAUUUUGUGCUAAGUCAUCUGCCUAAACAAAGUGGUGUAAGUGGAGGUAGCAGCUCAAUGGAGAUUUUCUUUUUUCUUUAUUUAUUUCUUUAUUUUAAUUUUUUAAACAAUGCAAAAA